rnacentral:rRNA from 1 species
GAUGAACGCUGGCGGCGUGCCUAAUACAUGCGAGUCGAGCGAACGGACGAGAAGCUUGCUUUUCUGAUGUUAGCGGCGGACGGGUGAGUAACACGUGGAUAACCUACCUAUAAGACUGGGAUAACUUCGGGAAACCGGAGCUAAUACCGGAUAAUAUUUUGAACCGCUUGGUUCAAAAGUGAAAGACGGUCUUGCUGUCACUUAUAGAUGGAUCCGCGCUGCAUUAGCUAGUUGGUAAGGUAACGGCUUACCAAGGCAACGAUGCAUAGCCGACCUGAGAGGGUGAUCGGCCACACUGGAACUGAGACACGGUCCAGACUCCUACGGGAGGCAGCAGUAGGGAAUCUUCCGCAAUGGGCGAAAGCCUGACGGAGCAACGCCGCGUGAGUGAUGAAGGUCUUCGGAUCGUAAAACUCUGUUAUUAGGGAAGAACAUAUGUGUAAGUAACUGUGCACAUCUUGACGGUACCUAAUCAGAAAGCCACGGCUAACUACGUG